AGCUGGUCCCCCAGGGAAGUUACAACUAACUGAUUACAGUUACAGAUUACUUUGCUCAUUCUCCAUUUCCCCUGCUUCACUUGACUAGUCUUCA
rnacentral:Y_RNA from 1 species